AGGUCAAAGGACGCAAAGCCGGCACUGAUGAAGCUCUCCUUGUACCGUCCCAUCUUGAUGGCGUCUAGCCAGUCACCUACUGUCGUGAAAGUUGUAUAAUCCGGGACUGUGCGGUCCAGGAGGGGCUGUGACAUGCUGUGGGAGAGGAGAGUGAGCUGAUGCAGCCCACUCCAGCUCCUCGUCCUCACCGUGGCCCUGGGCACUCACCAGCUCCAAUCACCUCCUCGAUCUUGACGCAGGACACGUCGAUCUCCUUGGCGAACUCCCGCACAGCCUCGUUCGGGUCCUCGUAGGUGAAAGGGUCAAUAUAAACCUUCAUUCCAGGAGCAACUGGAGGGAGAAGAGCUUCCCAUUACCUGCGGCAGAGUCAAGUCCAAACUCUGCCUCUGAGGCCCUCCAAGGGCUGGCUGCACUCCCCAGCCUGGCUUCCCAGCAGCUGUCAAGCCAUCCUCUCUCUGCCCCCACAGCUGGCCACCCUCCCACCCCUCCCACUUCCUGAAGACUCCUCCAGCCAGGAAUGCUGCCCCUUCCUCUCGAACCCUGACAUCCUGCCACCUCCUCCCAGAAGCCUUCCUCUUUGAACUCUUCCUUCCCUUUACCACAGGAACACCCAGCUUAACACUUAAUUGUUGUCUAAUUGUUUCCUCUGUGCGCAUCUUGCCUUCCCAUAGGACUGACUGCCUUCGGGCCAGGGGUCACGUGUCACUGACUCUAGGGCCAGCAGGGAGAGAGAAGGGCCUGGGUCCCUGCAGGGAGGUGAGGGUCUGGUUGGAAGCAGGAGGGGGCAUCUAGGAAUGUUUACAAGGACCGAAGUCAUAGGCAGGGAAUGGGGCCGCUGGGGCUGGGGGCAGGGAGCGGAGAUGGGGAUGAG